ACGCCGCAUGAGCCGAGCCAAGAGACUCGACCAAAACGGGAACGGACGUCGUCCGCAYGAAGCGUAGAACGCUUURUUUUCGGGGCAAAUAGAGGUCGAGGACCUCGUACCGCRUCGGUCUUCCGCAUCCRAGAGAUCGAGCAUAACGACAUGGGCCAACRACCGACGAGCGCCCRAGAGCGCACGGAUCGUGGAACACGGCGAAUGCUUCGRCGUCCACCCMACACCGCAGCCACAAGGGGCGCAGCACAAGGAGGAAAGGGACAUUCGGACCACAACAUGCCUUCUCGAUAGGUAUACAACACAGGAAACCGUCRUCGGUCAAGGCAAUCCGCAACUUGAGCCAACAAUUGAAGAGGCGUGCACGAGAUGCCGUCGCUGCCCGAGCAG
rnacentral:misc_RNA from 1 species